rnacentral:rRNA from 1 species
CAGUAGCCGCGGGAAUACGUAGGGUGCAAGCGUUAAUCGGAAUUACUGGGCGUAAAGCGUGCGCAGGCGGUUUGUUAAGACAGAUGUGAAAUCCCCGGGCUCAACCUGGGAACUGCAUUUGUGACUGGCAGGCUAGAGUAUGGCAGAGGGGGGUGGAAUUCCGCGUGUAGCAGUGAAAUGCGUAGAUAUGCGGAGGAACACCGAUGGCGAAGGCAGCCCCCUGGGCCAAUACUGACGCUCAUGCACGAAAGCGUGGGGAGCAAACAGGAUUAGAUACCCCAGUAGUCCCUGUCUCUUAUAC